rnacentral:rRNA from 1 species
CCUACGGGGGGCAGCAGUGGGGGAUAUUGCACAAUGGGGGAAACCCUGAUGCAGCGACGCCGCGUGGGUGAAGAAGUAUUUCGGUAUGUAAAGCCCUAUCAGCAGGGAAGAAAGAAGACGGUACCUGACUAAGAAGCCCCGGCUAACUACGUGCCAGCAGCCGCGGUAAUACGUAGGGGGCGAGCGUUAUCCGGAUUCACUGGGUGUAAAGGGAGCGUAGACGGCCGUGCAAGCCAGGAGUGAAAGCCCGGGGCCCAACCCCGGGACUGCUCUUGGAACUGUGCGGCUGGAGUGCGGGAGGGGCAGGCGGAAUUCCUGGUGUAGCGGUGAAAUGCGUAGAUAUCAGGAGGAACACCGGCGGCGAAGGCGGCCUGCUGGACCGCGACUGACGUUGAGGCUCGAAAGCGUGGGGAGCGAACAGGAUUAGAUACCCCAGU